GAUGAACGCUAGCUACAGGCUUAACACAUGCAAGUCGAGGGAAAACGGCAUUACGUGCUUGCACUUUUUGGACGUCGACCGGCGCACGGGUGAGUAACGCGUAUCCAACCUUCCCAUGACUAAGGGAUAACCUGCCGAAAGGCAGACUAAUACCUUAUGGUCUUCACUGACGGCAUCAGAUGUGAAGUAAAGAUUUAUCGGUUAUGGAUGGGGAUGCGUCUGAUUAGCUUGUUGGCGGGGUAACGGCCCACCAAGGCAACGAUCAGUAGGGGUUCUGAGAGGAAGGUCCCCCACAUUGGAACUGAGACACGGUCCAAACUCCUACGGGAGGCAGCAGUGAGGAAUAUUGGUCAAUGGGCGAGAGCCUGAACCAGCCAAGUAGCGUGCAGGAUGACGGCCCUAUGGGUUGUAAACUGCUUUUGUAUGGGGAUAAAGUCAAUCACGUGUGAUUGUUUGCAGGUACCAUACGAAUAAGGACCGGCUAAUUCCGUG
rnacentral:rRNA from 1 species